rnacentral:rRNA from 1 species
GAUGAACGCUAGCAGCAGGCCUAACACAUGCAAGCCGAGCGGUAUUGUUUCUUCGGAAAUGAGAGAGCGGCGUACGGGUGCGGAACACGUGUGCAACCUGCCUCUAUCUGGGGGAUAGCCUUUCGAAAGGAUGAUUAAUACUCCAUAACAUAUUGAACGGCAUCGUUUGAUAUUGAAAGCUCCGGCGGAUAGAGAUGGGCACGCGCAAGGUUAGCUAGUUGGUGAGGUAACGGCUCACCAAGGCGAUGAUCUUUAGGGGGCCUGAGAGGGUGGUCCCCCACACUGGUACUGAGACACGGACCAGACUCCUACGGGAGGCAGCAGUGAGGAAUAUUGGUCAAUGGGUGCAAGCCUGAACCAGCCAUCCCGCGUGAAGGACGACUGCCCUAUGGGUUGUAAACUUCUUUUGUAUAGGGAUAAACCUACUCUCGUGAGGGUAGCUGAAGGUACUAUACGAAUAAGCACCGGCUAACUCCGUGCCAGCCGCCGCAGUAACAC